GCGCCCUCCACUUUCUCAGGAGACUCUGGGCACCUAACUGCUCCCGCGGAGUCCGGAGAAGACGAGGGAGGAGGUGGGGCUACGGCUGCACAUGCGCAGAGGGAGCCCGGAAUCCCCUUCCCAGAGCGCCGCGCGGGGAGCCGGAAGGAGUCAAGACUACGUUUCCCGUAGGCCUCCGCGUCCACUGUUGAGGUCGCUGUUUAAGCGCCCCCGCUUGUCAGGAACCUGGGGAGUGAUGUUCUCUCCGAGCCCGAACCCGAGCCCGAAGAGGUUAAGGGUUAAACCUGAGCUCUGCCGCCAAACGCGAGGGGUGGUCCUCUAUUGGCUCACGAUUGAAAUAGCAUUUUUUUUGCAUGGUGUGCCAGGCGGUGCUAUAUCUGCACCCAGGAUCUGAACCAGCAAACUCCGGCCCGAGAGCUGAAACGUGCGAACUUAACCGCUGCGCCACCGCGCCAGCCCCAACCUGUUGGGUUUUAAAUAUUAACACUGUUUCUUGCUGAAUUCUCUGAUUGUUUCAACAAAUUUUUAUGUUAAUCAUCUUGGAUUUCCGUGCACAUAACAAGUUUGCUUGCUUUGUCCUGACGUUUAUUGUUCUUUGUCAUUCUUUAACGAAUUACUGAUAAAAGCACAAAAAUUCUGGUCAAACUAUAUUGAAUCAAUCAUAAUAGACUUUAACAUAAAGGUCACUAAUGGCGAGAAAGUGAUCACGACGUAUGUUCGUUUAACAAACAUUUAUGGAAAACCUACGGCACAACAGACAUCAUUCUAGAUCCUGGGAUAGCACCAUCAAAUAAGAGAGAUUAAAUUCCCUACCCCUAUGGAGUUUAUGAUCAGGGUUGUUGUGGGGACCUAUUAGGGUCCCCUCAAGAAACAGAUGUCAAUUGUCAAGAAACAAUACGACACUUGAGGAGAGUCGAUUAACAAGACUAUAAAAACAUGGGUAGGGUGAGUGAGGCAUCCUGUAACUAGUGAUGGUAGGGAGUCAUCAUCACUCCAGGCCUAUAAUGAGGGUAGGUGAUAU
rnacentral:lncRNA from 1 species